rnacentral:lncRNA from 1 species
CCACCAAACUCACCCUUGGUCUCUCAUUUAACAUAUCUGAGAUUAAAUCAAACCUAAUACCCUUCUCUCUGAAAUCACCAGCCACCCCCACCAUAGCUCCGCCGCCCGAAAAUUUCCCCACGGUGGCAAAUCACCUCCAAACACCUCCAAAUUUUAACCAGCCAAUUCUCAUCAGUCCCUUGUUCACUUCAUGCCAUUGAUUCCCCCAAAUAAUCACUCAAUUUCUCCAAAUUAUAGAUCUGAAAAUAAAAAUUCAAACUUUUUUGCCUAAAUUUUUCAAAAUUAAAUCCGCAAGUCGUGUUAAAAUUUGCAUGAAUUCCUCAGUUUUUUUAUCAAAAGGGGUUCAUUUCACGUCAAGAACGCUCUAUCCCUAGUUUUUUACUUGAUUUCGGACAAUGAGCCUCAAACUACACAAUUUCUUCAAGCUUCUGCCUCUUUUCUUUCUUGGCACAUGAUGAGGCUUAUUGCAUGAACUAUUAGCUAUGAACGAAAGUUUGUCUAAUAUUCAUGUUACAAUUCUUACCAUUUGGCCAAGUUUUUUUUGCAUUCGCCAGAGUUUUGAUUUCGGUCCAUCCUUGUCUUUGAAGAUUUUGAAGUUCAAAUGGAUUACGUCGGUAUUUUUCUGUCCCCUUUGGUAUUUCUCUGUCCUUUUCUGUUCAUCUCUUUUAAGUUCAAUUUUUGGUCACAGACUUCUUCUCUUUUCUGUAAGACUAAGUUAGAUUUGUUAAUCAAUAAUUUAGUGUUAAUUUACAUUUAAAGCAUUUUAUUAAAAAAAAAGAGAAAAAAAAUAGUUAAUUAUAUGUGUUGUUUCAGUCCCGAAUUGGAUUGUUAUUUCUCUUCUCUAAGUUAUAGUUUUGUUUUUGUUUGUUUGGGUUGGGUUUGGGGUCUGUCGUUGUUGAAUGAAAGUCCAAAUUUGGAAGCAUGUUCGUUGGCCCAGGCUUGAGAUUGGAUGUUCAUUAAACCCCGUUGGUUUUGAGAGGUAAUUUUCAGGGGGGUUAAAAGGGUAAUAUGGGCAAUUAGCUUAAGGAAAUCUUUUGUAACUACUGAGAAGCUUCUAGGAAGUGGGGUUGAGGGACUAAUAUGAAAAUCUGAUAAUUAGAAUAAGGAUAUCUAAGCUAAAAUGAAAAUUAAAAAGGUGCAAAAUGCAAAAAUUGAUCCCUUAGGAUGCCCUAAUGGCUUGGUUAUAAAGGCACCUUACAUUGCAUUUCAAGGCAGAGAACGAAGAGAUAAAAAUUCUGUAGAAAUUGAAAUGGCUGAUUCUCUUGAAGAAAUCCUAAAUCAACUUUGAAUUCCUUUCAAUUUUUGGAGAACUAUUGAAAAUCCUACUUAGUUUUGGUUCAUCUUAUCUUAACAUUUUAGUUCAAAUCAUUGAAAACUCAAAAGUAUACAUUCUAGGUAAAAUGGAUCAAAUUUUGGGUGUUUAAAGCUGAGAUUUAGAUUUGGUAUUUGAAAAUACUGUUUCAUCGAACUUCUUUUGAAUUCUGGAGGUUUUCAAUUUUUGAAUCAACUUCUGAUUUAUCUGGGGCUUGAAAAUGGAUUGAAUUAUAAGUUGUGGCUGGUUUCUGUUGUUGUUGGCCUAUUACUGCUGCAUCCUCUUAGUUUCAGACUAAUUCUUGGUCUAUUUUGUUGUCAUUCAGGUAUACACCUCUGCAUUUCACCUAAUGUAAAGCUUGAGUUGGAAUCAAAAUGGAAAUCUGGAAUUUUGCGAGUAGUAGUCAAUUAGUUGUGUUCAUAACUUAGUUUACUUUGUUUACUUGCUUAAUCUCUGGUUUUAUGGUACAUAAAUUUUGUUAGAUGCUAACAAAUACCAUGUUGUAGGCUAUAUUUUGUUUGUAAUGAGGGAUAGAGGUUUAGUAGAUUCUACACUUGAUGAAUUAAGUUGGAUGACUGAUGUCCUGUAUGCAUCUUUUAGAGAGUUUCACUUAUUGUCUUUCUAACUUUGAAUAGGUUAUUAGCGAUUGAGAUUUUGAAAAUUUUGUGAUACCUUGUCGUUUGGUUCUUUCUUACAUAUAAAAUCUCGAGUCUGAAACCCCUGGUGAAUGGCAGUUAAUUUUGAUAGAUGGAAUUAUGUAUAAUGAAAUAUUGGUCGAGAUGCAUGUUUCAUGACUGCGAUUUGAAUUGCAAUGUUAGAACCUUCGUGAUGUUGGUUUAGCAAACUUGGGUUUAUUCUCCAUUGUUCAUUUCAGAUUUGUUCUUGCACAGAUUAACAUAUAGUGCAGUGGUUUAGAUUUGUGCCUCGGUUAUAUUUUUUUACUAAUGGAUGAGCAUCUUUAACUUGAACAGAUUUUUGAAUGGAGUUUAAGCUUGAUUUAGAUUUUUGAUUUUAGCUUUGUCCAAUUUUUAGGUUGAAAUACGAGUUCCUGCAGGAGUAUAGAAUAGCAUAUGUCUACAUAUUCUGUCACUAUGAUGCUAUGCAUGAUAUAUAUUGAGAGAGAAUGAAUUCUAGAUAACCAAAAAGGACUACUGUGUGAUUGUAUUUUCUAAUUAACAUUAAAUAUGUCAUGGUAUUUAUGAAAAAGAGAAUCAGCAUUUGCUUUGACUUUCUGGCAACAAUGUGGCUUGCAACUUCAAAUUCAAAUGCCUUUGUACCAUGUGAAGAGACUAUCUCGAGUCUCUAAGUUUGCUGGAGUCGGUUUAUUCCCCAAUUUGGGCUUCCAUUUGAGCCCAACAUGAUUUUGCUAUAAAAUUAUCAAU